GCUGAUGAGCCAAGACAAGGCUCCUGGCUGGGGCCUUUGCAACCCACAGUGUGUGUCACGGCCUAGUCAUAAGCCAUGGGGCUAUGCUCAUCAGCCAUGGAUUCCACAGGUCCUUCUGUAAGCAGAAAGCCAUCACUGUCCUGCUUGAUGGCUUGCUGCUGCUCAGGCUCAAGAUCAGCUCUCUGCCCUACCCUCCUGGCACUAGAGCAGGCCAAGAGAAACUUGUGGCAUGUUCACCCCAGCACCUGGGUGCUGGCAAGGAACUCCGGCUUCUCCAUGUGCUUUCCUGGAGUCAACGUGGUCAUGGCUAGAAGGCAGUCAACAUGAGAUCUUAUAUGUUUCUAUGCACAGUGUUUCUAUAAAUUUAUUCAGAAAACACUUCUGGAUGAACUAAGACAAAAGAAGUAGAGUUUUUACAUAGGUGCAGCUGAGAAAAGCAAGGGCCCAGGGAGACACACACACAUGUGCACUCACAGAGGACUGUAUACCAAGUUAAGAGCUAAUAAAGAUAUCAACCACUGCUCUCUGUGAUGAGCUGUGACAUGUAACAAAAAGCACCCUGCCUACUUCUGAUAUUGUAAUUUUCUAAGAGAAGUGCUUCAGACAGUAUGGAAGCAUAGGAUGGAUGGAGGUGCCAUGGAUUAGUCAUAUGGAAGGUACUGUGAAAAGACUUA